rnacentral:rRNA from 1 species
GACGUAGGAGGCGAGCGUUGUCCGGAGUUACUGGGCGUAAAGCGCUUGUAGGCGGUCCACCAAGUUUGGGGUGACAGUUGCCGACUUAAUCGGCAAAGUGCCUCAAAGACUGGCGGACUUGAGGGCCACAGAGGGACAUGGAACUCCAGGUGUAGUGGUGAAAUGCGUAGAUAUCUGGAAGAACACCAAAGGCGAAGGCAGUGUCCUGGGUGGUCGCUGACGCUGAGAGGCGAAAGCCAGGGGAGCGAACGGG